CUGUCUCAGUGUUCAUCCCCUGAUCAAGGAUGCCCGAAACGGUGAGGCGGAAAGCAAAUUAAAUAACGUCAACCCAUCGGGACGGUUGGCCAGUUAAGAAGUGAGGAUUCAUUCUUAUGGCCAAUUAUUAUGGGAAGUCCUGUGUGGAUUCUCA
rnacentral:ncRNA from 1 species